rnacentral:rRNA from 1 species
UACGUAGGGUGCGAGCGUUAAUCGGAAUUACUGGGCGUAAAGCGUGCGCAGGCGGUUAUAUAAGACAGUUGUGAAAUCCCCGGGCUCAACCUGGGAAUUGCAUCUGUGACUGUAUAGCUAGAGUACGGUAGAGGGGGAUGGAAUUCCGCGUGUAGCAGUGAAAUGCGCAGAUAUCGGGAGGAACACCAAUGGCGAAGGCAGCUCGCUGGGACGGUACUGACGCUGAGACGCGAAAGCGUGGGGAGCAAACAGG